UUUUCACUCUCGGGCUGGGCUUUGACUGAGCUGCAUCUCCCUAACAUCUCCUGCAACUCACCUUUGCUUCUUAACCUCUUGGCUGAGCCUCUAUUCUUCCUUAAGACUGGGGCUAUUGAGCAGGAUACUGCCCAAACCUAAGCCAAGGCAUUCUGGAUCCACCUGAAGACUAAUGGCAGCAUGAAGCUAAGAAAACAAAGGGAAGAAAAAGGACAAACUGUAAUUAAGGAGAGAUGUAAAUCUCAAAGGAAAAAAAGAAAAAAAUCUUGAAGCAACUGAGUAAAUUCACUGACCAAGACAGUAACUUUCAUCUGGGUAAAAACCAAACACAUCCUGAAUUUCAACUGCUAUUCAAAGACUAUGAACUACAUUUCACUUUAUCUCCUAAAACUCUGAACUUGAAGAAUAACCUAAGCUGUUUCUUCUUCACUACAGUAUGCCAGGAAAGUAGCACAACUUCAGUGACUGUCAGAUACCUUCUAAAGAGGACACUCUUAAAAAUGCUAUUUAAAAGUCUUUGAAAUGCUUCGAAUCUCUGAGUGUAUGGCUUAUUGAGUGAAUAUACAACAUACAUCCAUUUA